rnacentral:rRNA from 1 species
UGGGGAAUAUUGGACAAUGGGCGGAAGCCUGAUCCAGCAACGCCGCGUGAGGGAUGACGGCCUUCGGGUUGUAAACCUCUUUCAGUACCGACGAAGCGAAAGUGACGGUAGGUACAGAAGAAGGACCGGCCAACUACGUGCCAGCAGCCGCGGUAAUACGUAGGGUCCGAGCGUUGUCCGGAAUUAUUGGGCGUAAAGGGCUCGUAGGCGGUUUGUCGCGUCGGGAGUGAAAACAGCGGGCUUAACUCGUUGCUUGCUUUCGAUACGGGGCAGACUAGAGGUAUGCAGGGGGAGAAUGGAAUUCCUGGUGUAGCGGUGAAAUGCGCAGAUAUCAGGAGGAACACCGGUGGCGAAGGCGGUUCUCUGGGCAUUACCUGACGCUGAGGAGCGAAAGUGUGGGGGAGCGAACAGGAUUAGAUACCCUGGUAGUCCACACCGUAAAACGUUGGGCGCUAGGUGUGGGGUCCUUUCCACGGAUUCCGUGCCGUAGCUAACGCAUUAAGCGCCCCGCCUGGGGAGUACGGCCGCAAGGCUAAAAACUUAAAGGAAUUGACGGGGUCAU